rnacentral:rRNA from 1 species
UACGGGGGGGGCAAGCGUUGUUCGGAAUUACUGGGCGUAAAGGGUUCGUAGGCGGCCAACUAAGUCCGACGUGAAAUCCCAAGGCUUAACCUUGGAACUGCGUCGGAUACUGGAUGGCUUGAAUUCGGGAGAGGGAUGCAGAAUUCCAGGUGUAGCGGUGAAAUGCGUAGAUAUCUGGAGGAAUACCGGUGGCGAAGGCGGCAUCCUGGACCGACAUUGACGCUGAGGAGCGAAAGCUAGGGGAGCAAACAGG